UACGAAGGGGGCUAGCGUUGUUCGGAAUCACUGGGCGUAAAGCGCACGUAGGCGGAUAUUUAAGUCAGGGGUGAAAUCCCAGAGCUCAACUCUGGAACUGCCUUUGAUACUGGGUAUCUGGAGUAUGGAAGAGGUGAGUGGAAUUCCGAGUGUAGAGGUGAAAUUCGUAGAUAUUCGGAGGAACACCAGUGGCGAAGGCGGCUCACUGGUCCAUUACUGACGCUGAGGUGCGAAAGCGUGGGGAGCAAACAGG
rnacentral:rRNA from 1 species